AUUGAACGCUGGCGGCAUGCUUUACACAUGCAAGUCGAACGGCAACGCGGAGAAGCUUGCUUCUCUGUCGGCGAGUGGCGAACGGGUGAGUAUAGCAUCGGAACGUGCCAAGUAGUGGGGGAUAACCAAACGAAAGUUUGGCUAAUACCGCGUAAGCUCCAAGGAGGAAAGUAGGGGACCUAAAUAAGGCCUUACGCUAUUUGAUCGGCCGAUGUCGGAUUAGCUAGUUGGUGGGGUAAUGGCUCACCAAGGCAAUGAUCCGUAGCGGGUCUGAGAGGACGAUCAGCCACACUGGGACUGAGACACGGCCCAGACUCCUACGGGAGGCAGCAGUGGGGAAUUUUGGACAAUGGGGGAAACCCUGAUCCAGCCAUGCCGCGUGUAUGAAGAAGGCCUUAGGGUUGUAAAGUACUUUUGUUAGGGAAGAAAAGCUAGUUUUUAAUAAAAAUUAGUGAUGACGGUACCUAAAGAAUAAGCACCGGCUAACUACGUG
rnacentral:rRNA from 1 species